rnacentral:rRNA from 1 species
GGGGAAUAUUGCGCAAUGGGGGCAACCCUGACGCAGCCAUGCCGCGUGAAUGAAGAAGGCCUUCGGGUUGUAAAGUUCUUUCGGUAGCGAGGAAGGCACUUAGUUUAAUAAACUAGGUGAUUGACGUUAACUACAGAAGAAGCACCGGCUAACUCCGUGCCAGCAGCCGCGGUAAUACGGAGGGUGCGAGCGUUAAUCGGAAUAACUGGGCGUAAAGGGCACGCAGGCGGUGACUUAAGUGAGGUGUGAAAGCCCCGGGCUUAACCUGGGAAUUGCAUUUCAUACUGGGUCGCUAGAGUACUUUAGGGAGGGGUAGAAUUCCACGUGUAGCGGUGAAAUGCGUAGAGAUGUGGAGGAAUACCGAAGGCGAAGGCAGCCCCUUGGGAAUGUACUGACGCUCAUGUGCGAAAGCGUGGGGAGCAAACAGGAUUAGAUACCCUGGUAGUCCACGCUGUAAACGAUGUCGAUUUGGGGGUUGAACUUUGAGUUUGGCGCCCGUAGCUAACGUGAUAAAUCGACCGCCUGGGGAGUACGGCCGCAAGGUUA